GACGAACGCUGGCGGCGUGCUUAACACAUGCAAGUCGAACGGUGAGGCGAGUGCUUGCACUCGUGGAUCAGUGGCGAACGGGUGAGUAACACGUGAGUAACCUGCCCAUCACUCUGGGAUAAGUACUGGAAACGGUGUCUAAUACUGGAUACGACCAACCCUUGCAUGGGGUGUUGGUGGAAAGAUUUAUCGGUGAUGGAUGGACUCGCGGCCUAUCAGCUUGUUGGCGGGGUAAUGGCCCACCAAGGCGACGACGGGUAGCCGGCCUGAGAGGGUGACCGGCCACACUGGGACUGAGACACGGCCCAGACUCCUACGGGAGGCAGCAGUGGGGAAUAUUGCACAAUGGGCGAAAGCCUGAUGCAGCGACGCCGCGUGAGGGAUGACGGCCUUCGGGUUGUAAACCUCUUUCAGCAGGGAAGAAGCGAAAGUGACGGUACCUGCAGAAGAAGCACCGGCUAACUACGUG
rnacentral:rRNA from 1 species